rnacentral:rRNA from 1 species
UACGUAGGUGGCAAGCGUUGUCCGGAUUUACUGGGCGUCAAGAGCGCGCAGGCGGUCGAUCAAGUCGCGUGUGAAAGCCCCCGGCUCAACUGGGGAGGGUCACGCGAUACUGAUCGACUCGAAGGCAGGAGAGGGUAGUGGAAUUCCCGGUGUAGUGGUGAAAUGCGUAGAUAUCGGGAGGAACACCAGUGGCGAAGGCGACUACCUGGCCUGUUCUUGACGCUGAGGCGCGAAAGCUAGGGGAGCAAACAGG